rnacentral:rRNA from 1 species
UAAAGUGGCGUACGGGUGAGUAACACGUGGAUUAUCUACCCUCUAGUGGGGGGAUAACCCUGGGAAACCGGGGCUAAUACCGCAUAAGCUCGAGAGAGGAAAGCAGCAAUGCGCUGGAAGAGGAGUCCGCGGCCGAUUACGCUAGUUGGUAGGGUAAAAGCCUACCAAGGCAACGAUCGGUAGCCGGCCUGAGAGGGCACACGGCCACACUGGCACUGAAACACGGGCCAG